CUUGUACUUCCUCCGUUCUGAAUUACUUAUCGCAAAUAUGGAUGUAUCUAGAUGUAUUUUAGUCCUAGAUACAUCCAUUUUUAUGACGAGUAAUUUGGAACGGAGGGAGUAGUAC
rfam:Triticum aestivum genome assembly, contig: Triticum_aestivum_CS42_TGACv1_scaffold_569461_7AS